rnacentral:rRNA from 1 species
UAGGGAAUCUUCGGCAAUGGACGAAAGUCUGACCGAGCAACGCCGCGUGAGUGAAGAAGGUUUUCGGAUCGUAAAACUCUGUUGUUAGAGAAGAACAAGGACGUUAGUAACUGAACGUCCCCUGACGGUAUCUAACCAGACAGCCACGGCUAACUACGUGCCAGCAGCCGCGGUAAUACGUAGGUGGCAAGCGUUGUCCGGAUUUAUUGGGCGUAAAGCGAGCGCAGGCGGUUUCUUAAGUCUGAUGUGAAAGCCCCCGGCUCAACCGGGGGGGGUCAUUGGAAACUGGGAGACUUGAGUGCAGAAGAGGAGAGUGGAAUUCCAUGUGUAGCGGUGAAAUGCGUAGAUAUAUGGAGGAACACCAGUGGCGAAGGCGGCUCACUGGUCUGUAACUGACGCUGAGGCUCGAAAGCGUGGGGAGCAAACAGC